CCACCUGCAAGAUAGGGUGUUCGCGGCCAAGUCCCCAGCUCUGGCUGUGGCGUUUUCGCUGCGCGGGCAACCUGCCCGCCUCGUUCGUCAGCACUGUGACCAGAGCGAGGCCAGGGCUGGGGUGACCCUCCUGAGGGCCGCCCCCCUAAUCACCCGUCCAAAGUUUUUUGUCAGUCGCGAGGUCAGCGGGACCUGCCCAGAGGGCAGGCGGAAGCGGACCGUGCCGCGGCCAUGACGGCUCUUAGCCGCUUCCCUCAGCUGGGGAGGGACCCGCGCUUUCCCCCGGUUUAUCCCUGGGCGCCCUGCGCCGCUGCCGGCGGCACGUGGGGGCCUUGAGUCCGGAGCAGGGCGGACAGGAGCGCCUCUUGGAGCCAAAGAUGGAGGCAGCGCCGGGUUUGGGUGUGGGCUGGGCCUCGCCGUCACCUCGGCAUUUCUGUUGCCAGGGUUGGAAGAGUCCGCUGGUUAGUGGGCCCCUUGCCCGCGGGUGUAGGCUCCAAAUGGUCCCCCGACAUUUUCACAGCGUUCCUCCUCUCCCGACCCCCCGCCCACGGGAGCUGGAAGUUGCAGGACUUUUGUUGGCCACUAUUUGGGCUGGGGUUGGGCUGGGAGGGGCGGUGUAGACGGUUUACAGCCCUUCACGGCUGGGGGUGAUGAAGCGGGACCCGCCACGAGAUUUGAGCGGCCCAGUGCAAAAGGAAAAUGCCAGAUUCCUUGUUCAUGAGUUACUAAGAGUCCCAAAACGGUGGUAAGCAGAGCAUUAGACCCAGAGCCGACCCCUGCGACUGCGCAGGUUGUGGCCGGUGAACCUGUCGCGAUGCUUCCGAGACUUCCGGCCCGCGCCAGGUGCUGGAAACCUCCUUUACAAAGGGCUCCGGUGUGCUUCGGCUUCUUAGUUUUCAGGCUUCUUAGUUUUCAUUGUCACUGCCGUUUCCCCUCCCCAGUGCUUUUGGAUGGAUCUUCGUCACCGUCCUAGGGUUGCUCACCACCCUCAAGCUUAAAAACCCAGCCAAGACCCUUUGACGGGCAUCUUUAAGGGCUGAGUUGAAGGAUGGGGCUGUCUUUUCCCCUGGCGUCUUCCUCUGAAGCUGGCAAAGUGAUGGAGACAUCGUACUGAUUGUCUGAAAGCAACCCCGGAGUCCCGACCUCCUGGGAAGAUCUGUGGAAGAAACAGGGAACGCUUCGCUCAUCUCCCAGCUUUGUGUCUGCCCUUGCUCCAAAGGAGGGGUUCUCCGAGUGCAAGUUUUGGCCAAGUUCCCACACAUGCUCCAUGUAGAAAAGAAGCUGAUGCACCUCUCAUGCGUGCUACCUCAUCAAGUUCGAAACAUUUGAAAUUAGCCUAUUGGAAUGGGUAUUUGAUAUUUGUUGCUCUUUGCCCCCAUGCCUUUUCAUAGUCCUCUGUAUCCCUCUGUCUUCUUAGCUGGCUCAACUUCUAUGGUCAUUUUUAUCACUUGUUUGCCCUUUUGUUGUACUUGUUGGCAAACCACAGUCUGUAAGGUCCCGCUCUCUCCGUACUCUGCCCUUGUAUAUGGCCCCAAGAGGAACACAUAUCCAGGUCAACCGAUUUCACACUAAAUUCUUGACUACUGACCUCAAGCGAACCCUUAAUGUAGCCUAGAAUCCAGUCUACUUCUUUGUGCAUUCAUUCUCCUCUUCUCCUAAAGGACAAUUUUGUAUCUUCUCUCCCUGAACUUCCUGUACAUCCUUCCCCAGUCUCACUUACAGGUGAUGAACCUGCUGCUUUUUUCAGUAAAGAGAGAGAAGCAAUGAGAAGAGGACUGCCACAAGUCCCCACCACUUCUGCCCAGCCACCGGUAUCUGUGCGAUCAGAGCUCUAGGUCAGGCCUCUCCCUGUAGAUCACAGUAGAUCAGGGCUUCUCAACAGCUGUUUUGACAGUUGGGACUGAGUAACUCUUGGUCAUGGGGGUCGUUCUGUGCAUGGAAGGAUGCCUCACAGCGUCCCUGGCCUCUACCCACUUGAGGCCCCCGGCAUUCCUCCCCCCAGUUGUUGGCACCCAAAAUGUCCCCUGGCAGGGGGAGGUCUUGGGGGCCUUUUGGUAACAUUUGCAGGUACUUUUGGUUGUCCCAGCGUGGGUGCAAGGGUUGGUGUGCUAUUGGUGUCUGGGGGUAGAGACCAGGGAUGUGGUGAGAUCCUGCAGGGCACACGACAGGCCGCCGUGGCAAAGCUCUCCCAGUCCUGAAUGUUCCUAGUACUGUGGUUGAGAAGUCCUGUCCUAGAUGCACUGUCCACAUUUCUAUCAAAAUCCAGCCCGCCACCUCUUGUCUACUCCAGGAAAUCACUCCAGCAAGUCCCCUCCCUCCUACAUGACUAUUUACCUUCUCUGGCAUCACCUUCCCAUAAACUUACAAACAUGCUGCAGUUUCUCUCAGCGUUAAAAGGAACCCCUGAUCCCCUUUUGGCCUCUAGAUAGUUCAAUUUUUUUUUAAGACUUUAUUUAUUUACUUAUUUAUUUGACAGAGAGAGAGAGAGCA